GAAUAAAAUAAAGGUUAAAUGUUCAUAUGUCAAAUAUUAAAUAACCUCUACGAAAUAAUAAACUAAAUAUAAAUGAAAUUAUUUUAAAUAAUAUUAAGAUUUGUAACUAUAUUAAUGCAUUGGCAGGCACACUGAUAGUAAAAAUUUAAUUGUAAAAGUUAUUGUUAUGUUCUUUUUAAAGUUUUAAAUGACAAAAAACGGAUGUUACCUCGUUAUUUAUUAAGAGGUUCACAGAGACCACUAUAAGCUAUACAGGUAGAAUAAUUAUUAGAUAUUAUCUAGUUAUAUUUGAGGAUUUCAUUUUAUUAUACUGUAAAUAUUCUUUUCUUACUUUUUAUGAAUAUUGGAAUCAUGUCGUAAAAGGAAGUUUGCAUAAAUUUCCUUUGAGUGACAUUUAAACCAAGUUUUGUUGUUGGUUUUUUUAUUAUUUCAAGGAUUUACAAAAGUAAAAUGAAGAAAGAAAGGACAUUUUUAGCAGUUUUGUAGUAGAAAGUAGAGUUCUUACAACUGAAGUAAAUGAAAUCUUUGAGACACACAUCUUAAGGCUCAAGGAAAAUUGUAUUUAAUAGUAGAAGCUUGGAAUAAUUUACACAUUUCCCACAUUAAAGUCAGUGUUAUACAGAAGGAUCUAUUAGAUUAAUUUCAGCUACUGAGGAAUUUACAGAGAAAAUAAUUAUUUUUGGGAACCAUAAACAAAUGUGUAUCUAGCAUUUUUAAAUAUCUUUGGAAAAAAAUGGACGGACGGAUGGACGAACCUUUAGAUAGAGACCUAUAUUUUGCUAGGGGGAUUACUUAAUGGGGGAUUUGUAGGAUUGUCUAUUGAUAUAGUGUGUACCUACCAUAAACAAGAACCAAUUCUGAGAUAUAUGCAAGCCAUCCAUUGAUUGUAUUAAUUAUUAUUUGAGUGCAGAUUGCAGUGGUUUGUAUACUCAUAUGGAAAAACAAACACAAAAGAAAUUACAAGUAUUACAAAUCAUAUUUUCCAGUCAAUGAGCGUUGUAAAAGAUGCAUUUGCUCCAUAUGAAUGUAUCAAUAAUAAAUUUCUAGUUAAUGUCAAAGCAGCAGCUUCAAUUCAAUUAAUUGACAUAAAAAUAUGCAAUAUUAUACUGGAGGAACUUGAGAAGGAUUUUACAAAGAAUGUAUUCUUCAGUAAGUGAACUUAUGACGAGAACUGGACAAAAAUGCAAAUAAUUUUACAUUGUAGCAAUCAAAUUCAAAGUUACCCAUCAUCCUUUCACAACUUUUCUUCACCAUUUUCAAAACUUAUGAAAUGAAUAUUGUGUCAUUAGGAAUAAUCUGCUUUAAUCAAUAUUCUAAUAUAUUUUAUACACUUUUAAUAGUUAUAAGUAGUAUAAAAUAAAAUCAGCUAUAAAAUAGCUAUAUAAUACAUUCCAAAAAUGUUCAAGAUGCAAAUUAAAAAACAAAAAAAAAUUUAAUUUAAAGCAAAAAUCUACUGUAAAAUUAUAAAUAUUCCACUUGUGAGAGAUGAUUAAAUCUCCAUGUAUUUAGUACAAAUGAAAACAGAACUCGAUUUGUAAUUUUUUUUUCGAAAAUGAUUAAAUCAAAGAUAUAUAAAUUU